rnacentral:rRNA from 1 species
AUUCCAGCUCCAAUAGCGUAUACUAAAGUUGUUGCAGUUAAAAAGCUCGUAGUUGAAUUUCUGGUCGUGAAAAGUGGUCCGUUCCGCAAGGAAUGUGUACUGUCUAUUCAUGUCCAUCCUCGGAGUUAGUGUGUAUUACUUUAAUCGGUCGUGCAUGCAAUACUUCGUCAUUUACUGUGAGCAAAAUAGAGUGUUCAAAGCAGGCUUAUGCCGUUGAAUAUAUUAGCAUGGAAUAAUAAGAUAUGACUUUGGUCUAUUUUGUUGGUUUGCACUCCAAAGUAAUGAUUAAUAGGGAUAGUUGGGGGUAUUCGUAUUCAAUUGUCAGAGGUGAAAUUCUUGGAUUUAUGGAAGACGAACUACUGCGAAAGCACUUACCAAGGAUGUUUUCAUUG